CCGGCAGCGCUGGGGGGCCGGGCGGGGCCUACCUGGCCCAUGAGGAUCUGUACCAGCAGGUCGGUGGCCAGCACAUGCGAAGGCUCCUCGAAGCCGAUGGUUCCAGCGCAUCUUCUUAUAGAGGUACCUCGGGAAGUGACUGGCAGUGUACGCAGCUGGGGUGCAGUACCGGAAGAUGGACACAUCGUGGGAAGGGCUAAUGGAGAACCUCCCGCAGAAGAAGCAGGAGAUGCUAGCAGGAGAUAGAGAGUGGACAGCAAGCUGGGCCCUGGACUCUGCCACCCCACAACUCGUUACCUGCCCCCUUACCUCAAAGGGUUGGUUUCCUCCAGGUCCACGAACCCGAAGGAAGCAUACAUGAGAACUAACUGUUCCAAGCGCAGGGUGAGCUGCUGGGAGAUCUCCAGCAACUGCAUGGAAGGUGGGAGAUUUCCUGACCUCAGAUGGUCGGCCAGAAGCCAUCCUCCCAUCCCUAGGCAGGAACCCAAGGAGAAUGGGACCUGGUAAGGUACACACCCCCUUCCGGACCAGCUCCUGCAGAGCUCCGUAGAUUGGAGGGACACUCCUUGCAGCAGCCUCAAGGUACAGGAAGUAAGGUUCGCACAUCGUUAGGAAGGUGGGCAUGGCCUUGGCUAGCUGUUCCUUCUGUACGCGGUCCCUGCUGAAGGGAGAAAGGGGCCUUCACGUGGCAUCACUCUCCCUCCAUCUCCAGGUGCCCCAUGCUUACCACCUGUAUCCCCAGUGCCAGCUUAGCGUCAGCGCGCUUGCAUAGCCCAUGCGGAGCCCUUGGUUCCAUCCCCCGCACCCAAAAAUCAAACAUAAAAAGAGGGACUGGGAGGUUGUCACUGGUCAAGACUGGGCCGGCCUCGCCACAGGUUUAGUCUCAGCGCUCGCAUAAGAAAGAUCCCCCGGUGUCAAGUCUUUUUCUCCUUCAUCUUUCAGAACCACCUGCAUCCGUCGUCGGUUAGGAUUUGUGAAAAUGCUGACACCUGGGCCGGGAGUGCCCCCGCUGUGGCCCAGUGCUUGCCUAGCACAAGGGCCUAGGUUCCCUCCCCGGUGUGUUUGGAGGUGCACGCAACUUAGUUCUCUGGAAGUUUUGCGGAGUGGGGCUCAGAAAGCUGGGAGUUAAGCCAGCCUCCAACAGACAGACAAUCCCUUUCCCCUGGUCCAGAAAUUGGAUUUUUCCUUGGAAAUGGAGUAUUGCCUCCCACAUUGGAAGUUCUCUGGCCAGAGUUAAUGCAGAUAGAUUUUGUUUGGCUGACUUUCAAGGGUUUUUUUGUUUUUGUUUUUUUUAAAAAAAAAACUAAGUGAGAAUUUCAAAUUUGGCAGGCAGUACUCAGUAGACUGAGGCAGGAGGGUCGCCAAUCCCAACGUGAUGAGAUACUAUAAAAAAAAAAUUGGCCAAAUCAACCAACAAACCAAAAACAAAAUUCUGAAAGACUGGCGCUUGGUGUCCCAAAAGCCCACCAUUGCCUGCCCCUGCCUCUCAAUUCUCCACAGCCCUCCGCACACUAGUAGAGUGUAUUCCUAAUCAGCUAGCCGUGAGUAGUCUCUGGGCCCUGAGUUCGUUUUUUGUCCCUGGUGUGAGCUGUACAGCCUGUCCUCCUGUCCUGGAACCUGGGCCCCAGCACUUGGUCACCUGUAGAGCAAGUAGCUUUGAAAGUCAUCCGCCUUCCUAAGCAGAUAACGGAGCUGGUCAGUGAUGGGGCUGAACAUGGAGUCCAGUGGGAGGCGAGCAGGUCCGAGCUCCGCUGCCAGUGGCUCCCUGGAGGACGCGGAGGCUGGCGUUUCCAUCAGCUGCUGUGCCCGCUGGGGCUCCUGCUCCGCUGAGGCCUCGGGUCUCCCGGCGGGCGACCACGAGGGGUCUCCAUAGGGCGGCGGCCCGGGUACCAAAUCGUCCGAAGGCGGUGCUACUUCAGGUCUCAGGGCCAGCGACCCGGCGAACCAGGACUCCGCAGCCAUUGGGCAUCCAGAGCAGGCUCCUCCAGCCUCCGCGGCGUCCCAAGAGGGCAGCACACCUGGGGCCGACCGGUCGGGACAGUGAGCACCGUCACCCCCUCGAACCAGCCUCGACGUCUCUGCCGGCGCCGCCCCGCGAGGCUUUCGCCUCUUUUGAAUUGAAGCACGCGGAGGGCCGCGCAGCCAGGGCUUGCACUGCGCACAGAGCUCGGCGGGCACCUGGCGCGCGGGGCAGGGUGAUGCCAAGGGCGGAGCCCCAGUCCGGCCCAAUAGACGUCUGCAGGUUGGCGCCUUUUCUCUCCCAGGUCGUUGACCGAGCUGAGGGGAUUCCUAACAUGUUAGGAAUCGGGGGAAUGCGGGUUACCGAGAGGCCUAGGCUCCACCCCAGCUGCUGACUCCCAAGAUCAGAUUCUUCACUGAUGGAGCUGGGAUCUGCCGGUGAACCUACAAGAGACUAGUGACUACCAGUCACUUCUACAAUAAAGACCCUCAGACAGUGA